GGAAGCUCAAUUCGGCCGGUGCCGGGCCUGGUCUUCAAAACCAGUGAGAGGCGUUCGCUCGUCUCUGGUGGGUUCGACCCCCACGAGCUUCCGCCA
rnacentral:tRNA from 1 species